rnacentral:rRNA from 1 species
GCGUGAGUGAAGAAGGCCUUAGGGUUGUAAAGCUCUUUCAGCGGGGACGAUGAUGACGGUACCCGCAGAAGAAGCCCCGGCUAACUCCGUGCCAGCAGCCGCGGUAAUACGGAGGGGGCUAGCGUUGUUCGGAAUCACUGGGCGUAAAGCGCACGUAGGCGGUCCGUCAAGUCAGGUGUGAAAGCCCCGGGCUCAACCUGGGAACUGCACUUGAUACUGACGGGCUAGAGUACGGGAGAGGGUAGUGGAAUUCCCAGUGUAGAGGUGAAAUUCGU